UGGCUCCUACUCACCCAAUCAGGCUGGGACUUGCCCUCAACUUUUCAGUGUUCUACUAUGAAAUUCUCAACUCGUCGGAUCGUGCUUGUAAUCUUGCAAAGCAGGCCUUUGAUGAUGCCAUUGCCGAGCUGGAUACACUGGGUGAGGAAUCUUACAAGGACAGUACAUUGAUUAUGCAGCUUCUCCGAGACAAUCUUACACUUUAGAUCGUGCUUGUAACCUUGCAAAGCAGGUACUUUUCUCAGCUUCUGUUUAUUCAUUUAACUUUGAAUAUCAUCUUAUGUUUGAUUGGUCGAUUGUGCUUAGGCUAUGAAACAGUCAGAUAUUCGUAGUAAUUUUAAAUUGCAUGUUGGAAUAAAGAAUUAACUUUAGCUUUUGAUGUUUGUUGUUGUUGACUUUACUUGCCUAUUCGGCUCCAUGAAAGAUAGUUUUAUCCAUAAUACUAAGUAUUUGAAAGUAAGGAUGGAAAGAUAAAACAGUGCUGCAACUCCAGAGGUUUGGGGAGUGUAUAUCUAUUCUAAACCUCACUACAUGUGGUUCACAAAAUAUUAUCGUGACAAAGAUUGACGAGACGAGAAAUUGCUUGGGCUAGUUUGUAAAAUGAGAUUGCUUUUCUUUAGUUAGCAUGGAGCUAAGAAUCACAUUGAAAUUCUG
rnacentral:lncRNA from 1 species